AGCGAACGCUGGCGGUAGGCCUAACACAUGCAAGUCGAACGGCAGCACCGUAAGAGCUUGCUCUUACGGGUGGCGAGUCGCGGAAGGGUGAGGAAUACAACGGAAUCUACUUUUUCGUAGGGGAUAACGAAGGGAAACUUACGCUAAUACCGCAUACGACCUACGGGUGAAAGCAGGGGAACUUCGGACCUUGCGCGAUUGAAUGAGCCGAUGUCGGAUUAGCUAGUUGGCGGGGUACAGGCCAACCAAGGCGCCGGUCCCUAGCUGGGCUGUGAGGAUGGUCAGGCACACUGGAAGUGAGACGCGGUCCUGACUCUGACGUGCGGCACCGGUUGGUACGGUUGGCAGAAGUGCGGAAGCCUGCACCAGCCAUGCCGCCCGGAUGAAGAAGCCCCUCGGGUUGUAAAGCGCUUUUGUUGGGAAAGAAAGGCUGCAGGUUAAAACCCCGCUGUGCUGCCGGUACCCGAAGAAUAAGCACCGGUUACCUUCUU
rnacentral:rRNA from 1 species